rnacentral:rRNA from 1 species
AUUGAACGCUGGCGGCAUGCCUUACACAUGCAAGUCGAACGGUAACAGGUCUUCGGAUGCUGACGAGUGGCGAACGGGUGAGUAAUACAUCGGAACGUGCCUAGUAGUGGGGGAUAACUACUCGAAAGAGUGGCUAAUACCGCAUGAGAUCUACGGAUGAAAGCAGGGGAUCGCAAGACCUUGUGCUACUAGAGCGGCCGAUGGCAGAUUAGGUAGUUGGUGGGAUAAAAGCUUACCAAGCCGACGAUCUGUAGCUGGUCUGAGAGGACGAUCAGCCACACUGGGACUGAGACACGGCCCAGACUCCUACGGGAGGCAGCAGUGGGGAAUUUUGGACAAUGGGCGCAAGCCUGAUCCAGCAACGCCGCAUGCAGGAUGAAGGCCUUCGGGUUGUAAACUGCUUUUGUACGGAACGAAAAGCCCCGGGUUAAUACCCUGGGGUCAUGACGGUACCGUAAGAAUAAGCACCGGCUAACUACGUGCCAGCCGCCGCAGUAA